ensembl:lncRNA
CUUCAAACGAGAGACCACUUUGUGACAUUAGCAUUUCACCAGCUUGAAGUUUACACUCGGUGCAGGCAGGUAGGGGCUAAGAUGAUCUUCUCCUUUGUAAAGAAGAGGCCUAACACAGUUUCUGGUGAACAGCAGCCACUCAAAGAUGUAGAGUGUCACCUGCCACCUGGCACUCUACACCGACUUACCUUUGCCCCACUAAGACUCCUCUCUUGAUAGCAUCUUUGGUUGGAAAAACACAAUUCCAGUUUUCAAGGUAGGGUAUUCAUUUGUAUUUUCCUUUACAAUAACAGAACAAACUGUGGCACAGGGGUGCAUGCCUACGCUCCAAGCUGGAGGAAAGCUGAGGAGGGGAAGGGGGAGGGGAAAGAGGAGAGUGAAUUUCAGGCCAGUCUGGACUACACAGAUCCUCAAGAAAACGAAACAGAACAAAAAUAAUAGUAACUAAGCAAAAUGUGGGUUACCCACCAAUUGGAACACUGACAUGAUACACCCAAUCCACAAAUCCCAUGAGCAGACCCUGGGGACCCAUUCAUUAGGACACACAUCAGUCUAUGCACAGCUAUAGAAACAUGCAUAUUGUGUAAGUAAUUGUACAAACUAAAAAGUGGUCUUGGAGAAAGAUGCAUUCUAAGAAUCCUAACAUUAUAUUUCAUUUUACUAGACCCUGAUACUGUAUGCAAAAUAAAAACCCACAGUGAAAAAGCAAAACAUGGGCCAGUGAGAUGGCUCAGCAAGUAAAAGAGCUUGCUGCCAAGGCCGAUGAGCUGAACGCAAUCCCACAAACCCAAGUGGGAGAAGGAGAAAAAGGUUCCCAAAACCUGUGCUCGGACAUCCACAGGAGCCAUGCUGCAUACAAGCAUAAAUACAAAGAACAUUUUUAAGGCAAACUAACAUGGGUUGGUCACACAGUCCAGAUCUGAUUCUACACUCAAGUAAGUUCCCUUAAGAAUCGGCCUCAGCCUCACUUUGCCAGAAGUCAGGAGAAAGUGCUUCUCCCUCAUUGGAAAGGCCGACAAGAUACACUUGUCAUUUUGCAAAAUGAGACUCCUCUUUCCAAAGCGGGAGCUCAAGGGGGAUGUGCUCAGAUUCAGAUUGAUGGCAUGUAAAACAAAACCAACUCUCAGUGAGCAAAGCUUGAAACACAAGAGGCUACCAUUUGGUCCAAGCAACUAAGUUAAUACCAGAACUAUUAAAAUAUGUUCUUGCCUCACCAGUUACGAACUUGAGACAGACAGAUUCCAUCUCAUAUUUCCCACUCAUUAAUCAUUGCCCAGUGAAGCGAAACAUCACACUUUUCUACGUAGACUGGAAUAUUUCUCAAUAUCCCUUCGAAGGAGUGUUUAUUGUUUGAAUAGAUGGCUGUGUAGUGUGCUCACCUUGGUUAACAACUUCCCUUUAUUAAUUGUCUGGUUUACACUGCAUACUAUAAUGUUGCGAGGUAAGGUAUGUGGCCUAGUGGCAUGUUUAUAAUCCCAGAAGAUGGGAGGGUAAGGCAGGCAGGAGGAUGAUGUGUUCCAGGCUCUAGUUUCCACAAUACAGAAAUUUGAAUCUCUACUAUGUAGUCACCUCAAGGGAAAACAAACACAUGAAUAAAUACAUAUGAGGGGGGAAAAAAAACUUCAGUAAGUAUCCAUGUACAGUGAUCACCACUUAAUGGCUCAGUGUGAUUUUCAAAUUUUAAGAAACUUCAUUUUUACGACCAUAGCAUUGUACCAUUUGAAAGAGAAUCCAGUAAUGUAUUUUUCUUGAUAAUAAAAUCUUUCGCCAUGUGCCCAGUCUGCUCACUUGACUCAUGUUUUACAGUUACAGACGCCAGGACCUCUAGAUCCUCUCUAGCUCAGUCUCCGGGCAUCUAUCCCAAUUAAGGCAUAGCGAUGUAACUAGCUGCACCCUUGUUUUCAGAUUUUUAAUGAGGAGCUGUGCUCCGCGGGCGCCCAAUAAACACUAAUUGGAGGAACUCAGGCAACCGCGGAAGCAGGCCUGGGCGGGCUGCCAGAGUCCUGAGUCCCCACUCGAGAGUGUGUCUGGCAGACCAGCAGCUUUAUUUAGAAGUUGCUUCUCAGGCAUCCUCAUCAGCAGGAACCGGCCCAGCUCCAAUCGCUCCUGGCCACACAGACCGGCAAAAGGUUACACCCAGACGACCCAGGAACCGAUCGGAGCUCCGCCCCGCUCUAAAUCUCAGACUCCAUUCCUUCAGUUAAGGCGUGGCCUUCAUCUGCCAAUCACAGAUAAGUCCGGCCUCGGCCUUGCCCCAGGUAGGGUUUUCAAUUAAGAGUUUACUUCCAGUGUCCUAGCCAGUAAGCUCCAGGCGAGGUCUCAGGUCCCAGGCGUCAAUCGCAGCCAAGUCUCGCCCCUCAGAUCCGGGCUACGUUCACGUGCUGGCCCACCCUCAACCCCUACACCUCCAGCG